AGAGUUUGAUCCUGGCUCAGGACGAACGCUGGCGGCGUGCCUAAUACAUGCAAGUCGAACGCUUCUUUCCUCCCGAGUGCUUGCACUCAAUUGGAAAGAGGAGUGGCGGACGGGUGAGUAACACGUGGGUAACCUACCCAUCAGAGGGGGAUAACACUUGGAAACAGGUGCUAAUACCGCAUAACAGUUUAUGCCGCAUGGCAUAAGAGUGAAAGGCGCUUUCGGGUGUCGCUGAUGGAUGGACCCGCGGUGCAUUAGCUAGUUGGUGAGGUAACGGCUCACCAAGGCCACGAUGCAUAGCCGACCUGAGAGGGUGAUCGGCCACACUGGGACUGAGACACGGCCCAGACUCCUACGGGAGGCAGCAGUAGGGAAUCUUCGGCAAUGGACGAAAGUCUGACCGAGCAACGCCGCGUGAGUGAAGAAGGUUUUCGGAUCGUAAAACUCUGUUGUUAGAGAAGAACAAGGACGUUAGUAACUGAACGUCCCCUGACGGUAUCUAACCAGAAAGCCACGGCUAACUACGUGCCAGCAGCCGCGGUAAUACGUAGGUGGCAAGCGUUGUCCGGAUUUAUUGGGCGUAAAGCGAGCGCAGGCGGUUUCUUAAGUCUGAUGUGAAAGCCCCCGGCUCAACCGGGGAGGGUCAUUGGAAACUGGGAGACUUGAGUGCAGAAGAGGAGAGUGGAAUUCCAUGUGUAGCGGUGAAAUGCGUAGAUAUAUGGAGGAACACCAGUGGCGAAGGCGGCUCUCUGGUCUGUAACUGACGCUGAGGCUCGAAAGCGUGGGGAGCAAACAGGAUUAGAUACCCUGGUAGUCCACGCCGUAAACGAUGAGUGCUAAGUGUUGGAGGGUUUCCGCCCUUCAGUGCUGCAGCAAACGCAUUAAGCACUCCGCCUGGGGAGUACGACCGCAAGGUUGAAACUCAAAGGAAUUGACGGGGGCCCGCACAAGCGGUGGAGCAUGUGGUUUAAUUCGAAGCAACGCGAAGAACCUUACCAGGUCUUGACAUCCUUUGACCACUCUAGAGAUAGAGCUUUCCCUUCGGGGACAAAGUGACAGGUGGUGCAUGGUUGUCGUCAGCUCGUGUCGUGAGAUGUUGGGUUAAGUCCCGCAACGAGCGCAACCCUUGCCUUUAGUUGCCAGCAUUAAGUUGGGCACUCUAGAGGGACUGCCGAGGAUAACUCGGAGGAAGGUGGGGAUGACGUCAAAUCAUCAUGCCCCUUAUGCUUAGGGCUACACACGUGCUACAAUGGGUGGUACAGAGGGUUGCCAAACCGUGAGGUGGAGCUAAUCCCUUAAAGCCAUUCUCAGUUCGGAUUGUAGGCUGAAACUCGCCUACAUGAAGCUGGAGUUACUAGUAAUCGCAGAUCAGAAUGCUGCGGUGAAUGCGUUCCCGGGUCUUGUACACACCGCCCGUCACACCAUGGGAGUUGGGGGCGCCCGAAGCCGGUUAGCUAACCUUUUGGAAGCGGCCGUCGAAGGUGAAACCAAUGACUGGGGUGAAGUCGUAACAAGGUAGCCGUAUCGGAAGGUGCGGCUG
rnacentral:rRNA from 1 species